rnacentral:rRNA from 1 species
GUUACAGGCUUAACACAUGCAAGUCGAGGGGCAGCAUGGUCUUAGCUUGCUAAGGCCGAUGGCGACCGGCGCACGGGUGAGUAACACGUAUCCAACCUGCCGUCUACUCUUGGACAGCCUUCUGAAAGGAAGAUUAAUACAAGAUGGCAUCAUGAGUCCGCAUGUUCACAUGAUUAAAGGUAUUCCGGUAGACGAUGGGGAUGCGUUCCAUUAGAUAGUAGGCGGGGUAACGGCCCACCUAGUCUUCGAUGGAUAGGGGUUCUGAGAGGAAGGUCCCCCACAUUGGAACUGAGACACGGUCCAAACUCCUACGGGAGGCAGCAGUGAGGAAUAUUGGUCAAUGGGCGAGAGCCUGAACCAGCCAAGUAGCGUGAAGGAUGACUGCCCUAUGGGUUGUAAACUUCUUUUAUAAAGGAAUAAAGUCGGGUAUGGAUACCCGUUUGCAUGUACUUUAUGAAUAAGGAUCGGCUAACUCCGUGCCAGCAGCCGCGGUAAUACGGAGGAUCCGAGCGUUAUCCGGAUUUAUUGGGUUUAAAGGGAGCGUAGAUGGAUGUUUAAGUCAGUUGUGAAAGUUUGCGGCUCAACCGUAAAAUUGCAGUUGAUACUGGAUAUCUUGAGUGCAGUUGAGGCAGGCGGAAUUCGUGGUGUAGCGGUGAAAUGCUUAGAUAUCACGAAGAACUCCGAUUGCGAAGGCAGCCUGCUAAGCUGCAACUGACAUUGAGGCUCGAAAGUGUGGGUAUCAAACAGGAUUAGAUACCCUGGUAGUCCACACGGUAAACGAUGAAUACUCGCUGUUUGCGAUAUACUGCAAGCGGCCAAGCGAAAGCGUUAAGUAUUCCACCUGGGGAGUACGCCGGCAACGGUGAAACUCAAAGGAAUUGACGGGGGCCCGCACAAGCGGAGGAACAUGUGGUUUAAUUCGAUGAUACGCGAGGAACCUUACCCGGGCUUAAAUUGCAGAUGAAUUACGGUGAAAGCCGUAAGCCGCAAGGCAUCUGUGAAGGUGCUGCAUGGUUGUCGUCAGCUCGUGCCGUGAGGUGUCGGCUUAAGUGCCAUAACGAGCGCAACCCUUGUUGUCAGUUACUAACAGGUUCCGCUGAGGACUCUGACAAGACUGCCAUCGUAAGAUGUGAGGAAGGUGGGGAUGACGUCAAAUCAGCACGGCCCUUACGUCCGGGGCUACACACGUGUUACAAUGGGGGGUACAGAGGGCCGCUACCACGCGAGUGGAUGCCAAUCCCCAAAACCUCUCUCAGUUCGGACUGGAGUCUGCAACCCGACUCCACGAAGCUGGAUUCGCUAGUAAUCGCGCAUCAGCCACGGCGCGGUGAAUACGUUCCCGGGCCUUGUACACACCGCCCGUCAAGCCAUGGGAGCCGGGGGUACCUGAAGUGCGUAACCGCGAGGAGCGCCCUAGGGUAAAACUGGUGACUG